GACGAACGCUGGCGGCGUGCCUAAUACAUGCAAGUCGAACGCUGAAGGAGGAGCUUGCUCUUCUGGAUGAGUUGCGAACGGGUGAGUAACGCGUAGGUAACCUGCCUGGUAGCGGGGGAUAACUAUUGGAAACGAUAGCUAAUACCGCAUAACAGUAGAUGUUGCAUGACAUUUACUUAAAAGGUGCAAUUGCAUCACUACCAGAUGGACCUGCGUUGUAUUAGCUAGUUGGUGGGGUAACGGCUCGCCAAGGCGACGAUACAUAGCCGACCUGAGAGGGUGAUCGGCCACACUGGGACUGAGACACGGCCCAGACUCCUACGGGAGGCAGCAGUAGGGAAUCUUCGGCAAUGGACGGAAGUCUGACCGAGCAACGCCGCGUGAGUGAAGAAGGUUUUCGGAUCGUAAAGCUCUGUUGUAAGAGAAGAACGAGUGUGAGAGUGGAAAGUUCACACUGUGACGGUAUCUUACCAGAAAGGGACGGCUAACUACGUG
rnacentral:rRNA from 1 species